rnacentral:rRNA from 1 species
GAUGAACGCUCGCUACAGGCUUAACACAUGCAAGUCGAGGGGAAACGAUGAGAGAGCUUGCUCUCUUAGUCGUCGACCGGCGCACGGUGAGUAGCGCGUAUCCAACCUGCCUCUGACCAAGGGAUAACCCGUCGAAAGUCGGACUAAUACCUUAUGCAGUCGUCGGAAGUCAUCUGAUGACGACGAAAGAUUUCAUCGGUGAGAGAUGGGGAUGCGUCUGAUUAGCUUGUUGGCGGGGUAACGGCCCACCAAGGCGACGAUCAGUAGGGGUUCUGAGAGGAAGGUCCCCCACAUUGGAACUGAGACACGGUCCAAACUCCUACGGGAGGCAGCAGUGAGGAAUAUUGGUCAAUGGGCGUAAGCCUGAACCAGCCAAGUAGCGUGCAGGAUGACGGCCCUAUGGGUUGUAAACUGCUUUUAUGCGGGGAUAAAGUGAGGGACGUGUCCUUCAUUGCAGGUACCGCAUGAAUAAGAACCGGCUAAUUCCGUG